ensembl:snRNA U2 U2 spliceosomal RNA
AUCCCUUCUCAGCCUUUUGGCUAAGAUCAAGUGUAGUAUAUUAGUAAGGAUAUGCACUUGCUUUUUGCCUUCCUUUAGUAUUCCAAUUUCUAAAGAAAGUAGAGAUCCUGGGAGAUAUUGCCAUUUUUCAGGUUUAUUACCUGGCAAGUGUUUUUGACAGACCAAUUACAAUUUU